AUUGAACGCUGGCGGCAUGCCUUACACAUGCAAGUCGAACGGCAGCACGGGAGCAAUCCUGGUGGCGAGUGGCGAACGGGUGAGUAAAGCAUCGGAACGUACCUGGUAGUGGGGGAUAGCCCGGCGAAAGCCGGAUUAAUACCGCAUACGACCUGAGGGUGAAAGCGGGGGAUCGCAAGACCUCGCGCUAUUGGAGCGGCCGAUGUCAGAUUAGCUAGUUGGUGGGGUAAAGGCCUACCAAGGCGAAGAUCUGUAGCUGGUCUGAGAGGACGACCAGCCACACUGGGACUGAGACACGGCCCAGACUCCUACGGGAGGCAGCAGUGGGGAAUUUUGGACAAUGGGCGCAAGCCUGAUCCAGCCAUGCCGCGUGCGGGAAGAAGGCCUUCGGGUUGUAAACCGCUUUUGUCAGGGAAGAAAUCUUCUGGGUUAAUACCUCGGGAGGAUGACGGUACCUGAAGAAUAAGCACCGGCUAACUACGUGCCAGCAGCCGCCGUAAAAC
rnacentral:rRNA from 1 species